CGGGGAUUCAGCAGCCUCCCCAAUCUAAGACGAUUCUCGUCCAAGGUCUGC
rfam:Nitrosomonas sp. AL212, complete genome.